AUGUUGUGAUGUGGACACUUAAGAAGCAGUAUAUUGAAGUGAUCCCACGCUUCAAAGAACAUGUCUCCAUCUUUUUGUUGAAAUGAUUGAAUCUCCCUUCUAAGCUG